AAAGUAGGCUUGUAAAGCCUGAGGUGGCUGGGCCUUCGGAGAAGGCACCCAAUCCGGCAUUGCGAUCCGGUGGUUAUCGGCUCUCAGGGUGAGCCUGCUUU
rnacentral:sRNA from 1 species